GUUUAUACAUAUUUGUGUUAUACAUUGGAAUUAUAUCAAUGUCAACUUUAUCUGUAGAGCAUCGAAUAUUCAAAAUGUAGAUGGAGCUAACGAAGUUACUAGACAACUAUUGCUGCUGCUGAUAAUGUUUUUAUUUCUCGUCCUAAAACAGCGAUACAUUUUUAGCUUUCGUUAGAUAUAUAAAUUUUUCCUGAAGAGGCAAAUGUCGUUUCGUUCAAGGAAUGGAUGCAUAACGAAUAAGUGCAUUUUCGGACAUAAUUUCAUAUAUUUCGCAAUAUUAUUGAAAUCAGCACAAAUUAUCAUAUUGGAACUUUCAAGUCCUUCGACAUGCCUUGCUUCAACAGUAUACAAUAAACUUUUUAAUAGAAUCAAUAUGUUGAGAGAUUUAUUAAUGACAAAUGAUUGGAGCAUUCUAUGCCAUGCAGAAACCAGCAAAAACAUUAUCUUAUAAGAGAACUUAUACUGCAAUAACAAUGAAUUUAACGAUAACAAAAAUUGUUGGAAAUUCCAAAUCAAAAGAACUCAGAGUUCUCAUCUUCUUACAACAAAAGAGAGAGCUUAUAUCCAUGAAUUGGUUAAAAAGCUUAAUCUGAAAUAAAAGAGCCAAAGAAAGGGUAUGAAUCGAUUCUUGGUGGUAUAUAAGACAGAAGAAUCAACAAUAAUUCAAGCUGAUGCUGUGAUAAAAUUAUGAAAACUAUUUAAGUAAAACAUACAUAAUUUUUUAUUAUAAAUCACAAAGACCUUUUGUUUUCUCUAAUAAAGAAAAAACAUUCUGUAAAUAAUGUUGCUUUAUGAAAAAACUAA